rnacentral:rRNA from 1 species
AGUGAACGCUGGCGGUAGGCCUAACACAUGCAAGUCGAACGGCAGCACAGUAAGAGCUUGCUCUUACGGGUGGCGAGUGGCGGACGGGUGAGGAAUACAUCGGAAUCUACUUUUUCGUGGGGGAUAACGUAGGGAAACUUACGCUAAUACCGCAUACGACCUACGGGUGAAAGCAGGGGAUCUUCGGACCUUGCGCGAUUGAAUGAGCCGAUGUCGGAUUAGCUAGUUGGCGGGGUAAAGGCCCACCAAGGCGGCGAUCCGUAGCUGGUCUGAGAGGAUGAUCAGCCACACUGGAACUGAGACACGGUCCAGACUCCUACGGGAGGCAGCAGUGGGGAAUAUUGGACAAUGGGCGCAAGCCUGAUCCAGCCAUACCGCGUGGGCGAAGAAGGCCUUCGGGUUGUAAAGCCCUUUUGUUGGGAAAGAAAAGCAGCAGGUUAAUACCCCGCUGUUCUGACGGUACCCAAAGAAUAAGCACCGGCUAACUUCGUG